rnacentral:rRNA from 1 species
AUGCAGUCCACCAACAUCGGUGCAGGCUCAAAUGGAAUGGAAUGCCCUUGUGGAAAGCUCGAAGAAUCCGAAAAAGAUGGGAGAAAAUACAAAGAUGAAGAACUAACUGCACUGGAAUUGUUCAAGGAGUGCCACUACAACAACAAGAAGAAAGGGUACACAGACACCCACACCAAGAAGCCUAGGUUUCUUCAGCAUGAGGGGAUCCACCAUGUGCGUGAGAGAUCCAGUGGUACCAUCCUUGAAGCACAACUAGUAGUGGAGAAGAAAGGGAGUUCAGAGCUUCGGGAGGUAGUCAACACCUUCACUAAGAAUGUAGAGGAAUCAAAAGAAGCGAGGUUCAAACAAGAAGAGGAGUGCAGGAAGAAGCAAGCUAAUGUGGAUUAA